UACGAAGGGGGCUAGCGUUGCUCGGAAUCACUGGGCGUAAAGGGUGCGUAGGCGGAUUGCUAAGUCAGGGGUGAAAUCCUGGAGCUCAACUCCAGAACUGCCCCUUGAUACUGGCGGUCUCGAGUCCGGGAGAGGUGAGUGGAACUGCGAGUGUAGAGGUGAAAUUCGUAGAUAUUCGGAAGAACACCAGUGGCGAAGGCGGCUCACUGGACUGGUAUUGACGCUGAGGUGCGAAAGCGUGGGGAGCAAACAGG
rnacentral:rRNA from 1 species